rnacentral:rRNA from 1 species
AUUGAACGCUGGCGGCAUGCCUAAUACAUGCAAGUCGAACGCGCAGCGAAAGGUGCUUGCACCUUUCAAGCGAGUGGCGAACGGGUGAGUAACACGUGGAUAACCUGCCUCAAGGCUGGGGAUAACAUUUGGAAACAGAUGCUAAUACCGAAUAAAGCUUAGUAUCGCAUGAUACAAAGUUAAAAGGCGCUACGGCGUCACCUAGAGAUGGAUCCGCGGUGCAUUAGUUAGUUGGUGGGGUAAAGGCUUACCAAGACGAUGAUGCAUAGCCGAUGUGAGAGACUGAUCGGCCACAUUGGGACUGAGACACGGCCCAAACUCCUACGGGAGGCUGCAGUAGGGAAUCUUCCACAAGGGGCGCAAGCCUGAUGGAGCAACGCCGCGUGUGUGAUGAAGGCUUUCGGGUCGUAAAGCACUGUUGUAUGGGAAGAAAUGCUAAAAUAGGGAAUGAUUUUAGUUUGACGGUACCAUACCAGAAAGGGACGGCUAAAUACGUGCCAGCCGCCGCGGUAA